GAUCCUGCCGGAGGUCACUGCUAUUGGGAUUCGACUAAGCCAUGCGAGUCGUGAGGGUUCGGCCCUCGGCUGACGGCUCAGUAACACGUAGAUAAUUUGCCCUUAGGUGGAGGAUACCCUCGGGAAACUGAGAAUAAUACUCCAUAGAUCUAGAAUGCUGGAAUGCUUUUAGAUCGAAAGAUUUAUCGCCUAAGGAUAAGUCUGCGGACUAUCAGGUUGUAGUCAGGGUAAAGACCUGACUAGCCUACGACGGAUACGGGUAGUGAGAGCUUUAGCCCGGAGAUGAUAUCUGAGACACGAUAUCAGGCCCUACGGGGCGCAGCAGGCGCGAAAACUUCGCACUGUGCGAAAGCACGACGAGGGAAUCCCAAGUGCUGGCUCGUAAGAGUCAGCUGUUUCUCUGUCUAAAAAAUAGAGAGAGUAAGGGCUGGGUAAGACGGGUGCCAGCCGCCGCGGUAAUACCUGCAGCUCAAGUGGUGGCCGCUAUUAUUGGGCCUAAAACGUCCGUAGCCGGUUCUAUAAAUGCCUGGGUAAAUCGUACGGCUUAACCGUACGAAUUCCGGGUAGACUGUUCAACUUGGGACCGGGAGAGGCUAGAGGUACUCCUGGGGUAGAGGUGAAAUUCUGUAAUCCUAGGGGGACCACCAGUGGCGAAGGCGUCUAGCUAGAACGGGUCUGACGGUGAGGGACGAAGCCCUGGGGAGCAAACGGGAUUAGAUACCCCGGUAGUCCAGGGUGUAAACGCUGCUCGCUUGAUGUUAGUCGGGCUCCGAGCCCAACUAGUGUCGGAGAGAAGUUGUUAAGCGAGCUGCCUGGGGAGUACGGUCGCAAGACUGAAACUUAAAGGAAUUGGCGGGGGAGCACCGCAACGGGUGGAGCGUGCGGUUUAAUUGGAUUCAACGCCGGG
rnacentral:rRNA from 1 species